GUCAGGCCUGGUUAGUACUUGGAUGGGAGACCACCUAGGAAGACCAGGUGCUCUAAGCA
rnacentral:rRNA from 1 species